GGCAUCUGCCUCCUGCUCGGCGAGCGCUCGCCGAAGACCUAUCUAAUUCUGUUACCUGUGUUGUCUGAGUGAAAACAAAUAAUUAAAACUUUCAACAACGGAUCUCUUGGUUCUGGCAUCGAUGAAGAACGCAGCGAAAUGCGAUAAGUAAUGUGAAUUGCAGAAUUCAGUGAAUCAUCGAAUCUUUGAACGCACAUUGCGCCUCUUGGUAUUCCGAGGGGCAUGCCUGUUCGAGCGUCAUUGCACCCCUCAAGCUCAGCUUGGUAUUGAUCUCCGUCCCAGCGACGAGUUCGAAAGACACCGGCGGUCCCACGAGACUCCUAAGCGUAGUACGAUUUUUCAAUCCCGCUCUUGCAGUCUUGCGUCGCGAUCAGCCCCAUCUAUAUAUCUUACGAUUGACCUCGGAUCAGGUAGGGAUACCCGCUGAACUUAAGCAUAUCAAUAAGCGGAGGAAAAGAAACCAACAGGGAUUGCCUCAGUAACGGCGAGUGAAGCGGCAACAGCUCAAAUUUGAAAUCUGGCACCUUCGGGGUCCGAGUUGUAAUUUGUAGAGGGUGUUUCGGGGGGAGACGCCGGCCUAAGUUCCUUGGAACAGGGCGUCAUAGAGGGUGAGAAUCCCGUAUGCGGCCGGUGAUCGAACUCAUGUGAAACCCCUUCGACGAGU
rnacentral:rRNA from 1 species